rnacentral:lncRNA from 1 species
AUGAGUACCUGUAUGUGAGCCCCCAACUGUUGGGGGUGUAUUUGUCUAGUCGGAAUCCCGUUGUUUGUGGGUGACCUCAGUCUUCCUCAUUUCUCUUCACACCUUUAAGUUUUAGUUAUUUACUUAUUGUGUGAUUUUUGUUUUUUAUUGUGGGGGGAGCACAAGGGUACAUACAGUGUUUACGUGUGGAGGUCAGCUAGUUCUCUCCUUCCACCAUCUGGGCUUCAGGGUGGAAGGAGUCCAGCGUGUCAGGCUUGGUUGUUGGCACCUCGGCCUACUGGGCCAUCUCGACAGCUCUAUAUACCUUUAAAUGGUGGGAUUUCUUCUGUACCUAACGGGUGGCCUUGGGUGCAGUUGAGGUCCAAAGUAUAAGAGGCAUUCGUGAGUCUAGUCUAUAAGUGUCUGUUCCUUGGUGACCGGGGUGCUAGCUCUUCUUGCUCAGUGGUCUUCCCUAUGAACAGUGCAGACACCAUGAAACCCUCCCUCUCAGGUCUCUACUGCUCCCUUCCCCUUAAAGGGAAGAUUUUAUGCAUUAGGAAAAUGUGGAGGGGGAGGGGCGAACACCUUAAUGGAAUUUUAGAUCUAUUCAGCACUUUUUCUGGUAUUGCUUCAAAAAAAAAAAUCCCCUCAGCUGUAAUAAAAAAAAAAUUGUGAGCAGGCAUCUGAUUACGGAGCUUUUUACAAUGUAGUUUUUCUUCUGGAUGCUUUUGAAUGAGUACGCGCCGUUUAAACGCAAGCCCCUGUACACUUUCUGGGGUGGAAAAGUUGCAGAAGAACACCAGAAAGCUUAUAAUGCUGGGAGAAUCGAUGAGCAGUAGUCGGUUUGCGCUGGGGAUGCAAGCGGUAAAGCCAGAGUUGGACUUCCUGUCCUCUUCCCGUCCCUUUUAAGGUGACCAAGACUUCGCUGGCCCUGCCCGUGUGUCCUGUGAAACUCUAGGAGAGAAAUCCCUACCCUAACCUUUGUUGGAAGACUGUGGGCUGCGGGCCCAGCUUAGGUAUUUGUUCCGCAGAAAAACGAUGUUGGGUAUUUCCCAUAAGUGAGCCCAGCCAUUUUUCAGUCCAAGGUGGGGCAUUUGGGUGAUGUCUCAUAGUGCCCGGCUGCCCUGCGUUCUCAGAAGGUGUGGGACUUCUGCGUUGGGAAUGCGUGCACUGAGGGGUUUGCUGGAGUGUUUUGGGCCUCAGAAAUAGUCUGGUCAAGAAGCAAGGGGGCUUGUGAAGCUGACUUGUGUGGGGCUGGAGACAGGGAGGUGCAAGCAGGGGUCUUCCUGGAGCUCGUUGAGGGGACGACACCCACACACUACCAUUUAUCUGGGCUGGGCCAUUAACCUCAACAGAAAAGGGCUUUUUCCUCGGGAGGUAGCCUGGCGGCAAAUUGCUGGGUAGACUGGCUGUGUAGAUGAAAGAGAAACCCAGGCAGGCGUCUUCCCCUCCAUACUCUCUCCCCACGGGCCUCAGGCUCCAGCAUUGCCCAGUUUGUUCUGUCCCAGAGGCUUGCCUGGCAGACAGGACCCUCACCCCUUGCUAAGGAGGCCAACAGGCCUGGCAUGGGGAGCAACUUGAUCCCAAACUCCUCCUCCCUCCUCCUUCCUCCUUCACAUUCCCUUCCCCCUACCCUUGGUGUCUGGUGCCAGGUUUCAGUGGGGCUGGGCUGCAUGAAACAGGCAUUGUAAGGCCCCUCUUAAAGAGUCUCCCCAACCUCCCCCCUUCAGCUGCUCCCCAAGUCUUCCUUUCCCUGUCCGGGUUUCUUGACCCAAGUUCCACACACUUUGGGUGAGCACUCUUGUGUCCAGAAGUGUCUUUCUUACUUUCUUGGACUAACUAACUUUAGGGGUCGUUGGUGUGGCCUUCAGAGCUGAGCUCCCUCUCUGCAAGAAAGAAAGUUCAGAGCUUGCCAGCGCUCACGAGUUUAUUAGCAGUUGAUGGAUACUUUGCAGAAACAAGUUAAUGCCUGAUGAGUCACCUUCUGCUCUGAGCCCUCGUCCCUCUCUUGUUUUUCGUCCUUUCUAGUAUGUGCGGGCACAGACAUUCCACCAUCAUAAACGCACACUCAGACACAUGCGGUCUUAUAUGCUUGGGUUGUGGGUCCAUGGCACUGGGGGCAGGGGACAGUGCAGGUCUGUGAUGUUUUUUUUUUUUCCCCAGUGGCGUGGGGAUUCAGGAAAGGAAUCCAACACUAUCUUGGCAUCCUCUUUGUGUGUAGCUGGGCAUGGGUCGGGGAGGCCAGCUAGAGGGGGUGUCUGUAAGUAGGGGACAGUCACUCAGGAUUUGUGUGUAUGUGGCUACCUUUGUG